UAUUGCACAAUGGGCGCAAGCCUGAUGCAGCCAUGCCGCGUGUAUGAAGAAGGCCUUCGGGUUGUAAAGUACUUUCAGUUGUGAGGAAGGGGGUGUUGUUAAUAGCAACAUCUCUUGACGUUAGCAACAGAAGAAGCACCGGCGAACUCCGUGCCAGCAGCCGCGGUAAUACGGAGGGUGCGAGCGUUAAUCGGAAUUACUGGGCGUAAAGCGUACGCAGGCGGUUUGUUAAGCGAGAUGUGAAAGCCCCGGGCUCAACCUGGGAACUGCAUUUCGAACUGGCAAACUAGAGUGUGAUAGAGGGUGGUAGAAUUUCAGGUGUAGCGGUGAAAUGCGUAGAGAUCUGAAGGAAUACCGAUGGCGAAGGCAGCCACCUGGUCAACACUGACGCUCAGACGAAA
rnacentral:rRNA from 1 species